UACAGAGGGGGCAAGCGUUGUUCGGAAUUACUGGGCGUAAAGGGCGCGUAGGCGGCCUGUUAAGUCGAACGUGAAAUCCCCGGGCUCAACCCGGGAACUGCGUCCGAUACUGGCAGGCUUGAAUCCGGGAGAGGGAUGCGGAAUUCCAGGUGUAGCGGUGAAAUGCGUAGAUAUCUGGAGGAACACCGGUGGCGAAGGCGGCAUCCUGGACCGGUAUUGACGCUGAGGCGCGAAAGCCAGGGGAGCAAACGGG
rnacentral:rRNA from 1 species